rnacentral:rRNA from 1 species
AACGAACGCUGGCGGCAUGCCUAACACAUGCAAGUUGAACGAGACCUUCGGGUCUAGUGGCGCACGGGUGCGUAACGCGUGGGAACCUGCCUUUAGGUUCGGAAUAACUCAGAGAAAUUUGAGCUAAUACCGGAUAAUGUCUUCGGACCAAAGAUUUAUCGCCUUUAGAUGGGCCCGCGUAAGAUUAGCUAGUUGGUGGGUAAAGGCCUACCAAGGCGACGAUCGUUUAGCUGGUCUGAGAGGAUGAUCAGCCACACUGGGACUGAGACACGGCCCAGACUCCUACGGAGGCAGCAGUGGGGAAUAUUGGGACAAUGGGCGAAAGCCGUAG